ACCAAUAUACAACAACAACAACAAAAAAAAAAACCAGUUUGAUCCCAACAAGUGGGCUCUGGAGAGGGUAGUCUGUACGCAGACCUUACCCCUACCUAAUACAAGUAGAGAGGUUGUUUCCAAUAGACCAUCGGCUCAGGAAGGGAAAGAAGAAGGGGAGGAAAGUAAAAAAAAAUGGAAGAUAAUAGAAAAGGGAGAGAUAAAGGAUAAGUGGUACCAAAUAAUAGCAACAAGGAAUACACUACCUGAGGCGAACAAAACCACAUAACAUAUAAAAAGCUAAAAAUAUGAAGGGACAUGCCUACUACUAAGACUAUCGGUGAACAACUAUCAAUUACCUAUUAACCUUCUAC
rnacentral:lncRNA from 1 species